UCGCACGCAUGCAAGUGAGUCAGGAGCCGCCUCCCCUCCUGUGCGCCGGGCCGCCGCCUUCCCUCCUGUGCGCCGCGCUGCCGUCGGGGCGCCGGGUCACCGGUGAUUUUCUCGCUCAUUGCCGCUCGUCUGCACGACCAGACAUAGCCCUGGGACGCCGCUCUUCUCUUCCUAAAUCCCCUGCUCGGCUGCUCCCAGCUGCUCAGGGUUGUGGACUGCGAUCUGCCGCUUCUGCUCUAGCCGGGCGACGCCGCCGCUCUCUCCGGCCACUUCCUGGAUCCGGACUCCCCGUCUCCACGCCGCCGCUCUACUCUGGCCACUGCCCAACUCCAGACUACAAUUGAAUUGAUCGGGAAGAGCUUUCUGGGCUAUGAGUAUUAUCAAGACCAAGUUGAGGAAUAAGAUGGGUGAUGAUUGGCUUAAUUAUAACAUGAUGUGCUAUAUUGAGCGAGAUGUAUUUGCAAGUAUUCCCGAUGAUGAUAUUUUAUAUCGCUUUCAAGCCUACAGGGAUCGCAAAGGGCUUUUACCUCCCUGUAGAGGUGUUGCUUCUUAUUCUGCCGUUGAUCAUGUUAUGGGAGGCACAAAUGAAAUAAACAAUUGAUUUGGUACUCUUUUACAUUCCCGUAUUAUUUCUAGUUUUAUCAUGGUAUAUCUCUUCUGUUGGAUUGGGCG